rnacentral:rRNA from 1 species
GAUGAACGCUGGCGGCGUGCCUAAUACAUGCAAGUCGAGCGAACAGACGAGGAGCUUGCUCCUCUGACGUUAGCGGCGGACGGGUGAGUAACACGUGGAUAACCUACCUAUAAGACUGGGAUAACUUCGGGAAACCGGAGCUAAUACCGGAUAAUAUAUUGAACCGCAUGGUUCAAUAGUGAAAGACGGUUUUGCUGUCACUUAUAGAUGGAUCCGCGCCGCAUUAGCUAGUUGGUAAGGUAACGGCUUACCAAGGCAACGAUGCGUAGCCGACCUGAGAGGGGGAUCGGCCACACUGGAACUGAGACACGGUCCAGACUCCUACGGGAGGCAGCAGUAGGGAAUCUUCCGCAAUGGGCGAAAGCUUGACGGAGCAACGCCGCGUGAGUGAUGAAGGUCUUCGGAUCGUAAAACUCUGUUAUUAGGGAAGAACAAAUGUGUAAGUAACUAUGCACGUCUUGACGGUACCUAAUCAGAAAGCCACGGCUAACUACGU